GGCAGUUAUGGAGCAUGCGCAGCAGCAGGGGCGGCCGCAGGUCGCCGUUCAAUAAUACGUAAUGUAUAGACUUUUGAGUAUACGAAGCUCCCUGUUUCUGUAGGUUCACCUGAGGUUUAUCUGGUCUUUCAGGGCUUAAAAGGGAGACAUUCCCAAAGACGAUUCCGUGGGAAGUCUCCUACAAGCCCCGAAGGAAGGGAAUCUCUCUCCUCAUACCUUGAGUUUCCUGAGUACAAUUAUUAUAGAUAUACGAAGAUCUCUGUGCUCAUGGAGAAUUUGUGUCAAGGGAUUUGUACAGCCCUGUAGGAGACACCUCCAGAGAAAGUAACAGCUCUCAAUUGAUUAGCUGAGGUAUGUACUGUGUGACUUAAAUAUUGAGUUUAUUUUUAUCAAAUACCUGUCAAGAAAGAAAGUCAAUUCUGAAACAGCAGAAGCUCAAAGUUCUACAGAUGGCUUUCAAAGGAAUUUGAAUUAGACAUCAUUUGAUGUUGCAAAAAACAAUGACAUCUUUUAUAGCUCUAAACAUCAGUUUUUAAAUUAGAGAUUGAUCUAUAAAGGAGCUAAGUUUGCAUAAUCAUUAUUCAUUUUAAGAUAAUAAUAUAUGAUAGGUACUAAAUUAUAUAGUAGUUUUGUGUAGAGAUUUAUACAUAUUUUCUGAUUGCCAUCAUCACAUCAUCUAAUUAUUUAGAAAUUUCAUUUUCAGAAUCUUGGAUUUUGGACAUAGAGCUUUAAAAAAUAUU
rnacentral:lncRNA from 1 species